GCAGGAAAGCGGGUCAAUGUGUAGGGCUGGAGGGCAGGGGCGGGCCCUGGGCCUGGGCUGGGGGUCCUGCCCCGGGGCGCACCCAGGGCGAGGGCUGCCCGGAGGAGCCGAGGCUGGCGGACAGCUUGGCCCUGAGCUUGAGGGGAAGGCAGCGAUGGGACAAAGGACGGAGGUCUAGGAAGAGGGUCUGCAGAGCAGAAAGCACGGGUAGGGGCGGCCUGACGCUCGGAAGACAACGGAUGGGAGCCGUGUGCACGUCGGGAGCUCGGAGUGAGCGCACCAUGACUCCUGUGAGGAUGCAGCACUCCCUGGCAGGUCAGACCUAUGCCGUGCCCCUCAUCCAGCCAGACCUGCGGUGAGAGGAGGCCGUCCAGCAGAUGGCAGAUGCCCUGCAGUACCUGCAGAAGGUCUCUGGAGACAUCUUCAGCAGGUAGAGCAGAGCCGGAGCCAGGUGCAGGCCAUUGGAGAGAAGGUCUCCUUGGCCCAGGCCAAGAUUGAGAAGAUCAAGGGCAGCAAGAAGGCCAUCAAGGUGUUCUCCAGUGCCAAGUACCCUGCUCCAGAGCGCCUGCAGGAAUAUGGCUCCAUCUUCACGGGCGCCCAGGACCCUGGCCUGCAGAGACGCCCCCGCCACAGGAUCCAGAGCAAGCACCGCCCCCUGGACGAGCGGGCCCUGCAGGAGAAGCUGAAGGACUUUCCUGUGUGCGUGAGCACCAAGCCGGAGCCCGAGGACGAUGCAGAAGAGGGACUUGGGGGUCUUCCCAGCAACAUCAGCUCUGUCAGCUCCUUGCUGCUCUUCAACACCACCUAGAACCUGUACAAGAAGUAUGUCUUCCUGGACCCCCUGGCUGGUGCUGUAACAAAGACCCAUGUGAUGCUGGGGGCAGAGACAGAGGAGAAGCUGUUUGAUGCCCCCUUGUCCAUCAGCAAGAGAGAGCAGCUGGAACAGCAGGUCCCUGAGAACUACUUCUAUGUGCCAGACCUGGGCCAGGUGCCUGAGAUUGAUGUUCCAUCCUACCUGCCUGACCUGCCCGGCAUUGCCAACGACCUCAUGUACAUUGCCGACCUGGGCCCCGGCAUUGCCCCCUCUGCCCCUGGCACCAUUCCAGAACUGCCCACCUUCCACACUGAGGUAGCCGAGCCUCUCAAGCUCCUGAGGUGCUGGCCAGUGCACCCCCACUCCCACCCUCAACCGCGGCCCCUGUAGGCCAAGGCGCCAGGCAGGACGACAGCAGCAGCAGCGCGUCUCCUUCAGUCCAGGGAGCUCCCAGGGAAGUGGUCGACCCCUCCGGUGGCCGGGCCACUCUGCUAGAGUCCAUCCGCCAAGCUGGGGGCAUCGGCAAGGCCAAGCUGCGCAGCAUGAAGGAGCGAAAGCUGGAGAAGAAGAAGCAGAAGGAGCAGGAGCAAGUGAGAGCCACGAGCCAAGGUGGGCACUUGAUGUCGGAUCUCUUCAACAAGCUGGUCAUGAGGCGCAAGGGCAUCUCUGGGAAAGGACCUGGGGCUGGUGAGGGGCCCGGAGGAGCCUUUGCCCGUGUGUCAGACUCCAUCCCUCCUCUGCCGCCACCGCAGCAGCCACAGGCAGAGGAGGACGAGGAUGACUGGGAAUCCUAGGGGGCUCCAUGACACCUUCCCCCCCAGACCCAGACUUGGGCCGUUGCUCUGACAUGGACACAGCCAGGACAAGCUGCUCAGACCUGCUUCCCUGGGAGGGGGUGACGGAACCAGCACUGUGUGGAGACCAGCUUCAAGGAGCGGAAGGCUGGCUUGAGGCCACACAGCUGGGGCGGGGACUUCUGUCUGCCUGUACUUCAUGGGGGGACGGCUCCACCCAGCCUGCGCCACUGUGUUCUUCUCUUAAGAGGCUUCCAGAGAAAACGGCACACCAAUCAAUAAAGAACUGAGCAGAAA
ensembl:lncRNA WASH2P WASP family homolog 2, pseudogene